UGAGACUGCUGAUAUCAACACUUUCUCUUGGGGGGUUGCAAACAGGGGUGCAUCUAUCCGUGUUGGCCGUGACACUGAGAAAAAUGGAAAAGGUUAUUUUGAAGAUAGGAGGCCAGCAUCUAACAUGGAUCCAUAUGUUGUCACUUCAAAGAUAGCUGAAACCACCAUUCUCUGGAAGCCUUAGAGAGAAAAGAAACUGGUGCUCACUGCUCAGAAUAUGAUUGAAAGAAAUGGAUUCAAAUUGUGAAGGUCCA
rnacentral:misc_RNA from 1 species